rnacentral:misc_RNA from 1 species
GAUGAAGAACGCAGCGAAAUGCGAUAAGUAGUGUGAAUUGCAGAAUUCAGUGAAUCAUCGAAUCUUUGAACGCACAUUGCGCCCCUUGGUAUUCCAUGGGGCAUGCCUGUUCGAGCGUCAUUUGUACCUUCAAGCUCUGCUUGGUGUUGGGUGUUUGUCUCGCCUCUGCGUGUAGACUCGCCUCAAAACAAUUGGCAGCCGGCGUAUUGAUUUCGGAGCGCAGUACAUCUCGCGCUUUGCACUCAUAACGACGACGUCCAAAAGUACAUUUUUACACUCUUGACCUCGGAUCAGGUAGGGAUACCCGCUGAACUUAAGCAUAUCAAUAAGCGGGGA